AGCUCCAACAGCGUAUAUUAAAGUUGUUGCAGUUAAAAAGCUCAUAUUUGGAUUUCUGGCUGGGCAUGUAAGUCUAAUCUUACAAUUGUGUACCAUACAUGUCUGACCAUCCUUUAGGAAAGCUACAGUAACAUUGUGUUGUUGUUGUGGGGAUCCCAACCAUUUACUGUGAAGAAGUUAUAGUGUUCAAAGCAGGCUUACGCCAUAAAAAAUAUUAGCAUGGAAUAAUAACAUUGGACUUUUGUACUAUUUUAUGGGUUUGUGCAUAGUAGUAACAAUUAGCAGGGACGGUUGGAGGACUUUGUAUUCCAUUGUCAGUGGUGAAAUUCUUAGAUUUUUGGAAGACAAACUACUGCAAAAGCAUUUAACAAAGAUGUUUUCA
rnacentral:rRNA from 1 species